GAUUAACGAGGGGGGAGGGAAGAACAAAGACAAGUCGAACGAUGAAACUUAAAUGAUUUCUUCGGAAUGAACUUAAGUGGAUUAGUGGCGGACGGGUGAGUAACGCGUGAGUAACCUGCCUUACACAAGGGGAUAGCCGUUGGAAACGACGAAUAAUACCCUAUGAAACUAUCACUUCGCAUGAAGCGAUAGUCAAAGUGUUAGCGGUGUAAGAUGGACUUGCGUCUGAUUAGCUAGUUGGUGAGAAAAAAGCCCACCAAGGCAACGAUCAGUAGCCGGCUUGAGAGAGUGUACGGCCACAUUGGGACUGAGACACGGCCCAGACUCCUACGGGAGGCAGCAGUGGGGAAUUUUGCACAAUGGGGGAAACCCUGAUGCAGCGACGCCGCGGUCUGUUGCCGGCCUUCGGGUUGUAAAAAUCUUUUGUAUAGGAAGAAAAUGACAGUACUAUACGAAUAAGGUCCGGCUACUUACGUC
rnacentral:rRNA from 1 species